UACGUAGGGCGCAAGCGUUGUCCGGAAUUAUUGGGCGUAAAGAGCUCGUAGGCGGUUUGUCGCGUCUGCUGUGAAAACCUAAGGCUCAACCUUGGGCUUGCAGUGGGUACGGGCAGACUAGAGUGCGGUAGGGGUGACUGGAAUUCCUGGUGUAGCGGUGGAAUGCGCAGAGUAUCAGGAGGAACACCGAUGGCGAAGGCAGGUCACUGGGCCGCAACUGACG
rnacentral:rRNA from 1 species